AACGAACGCUGGCGGCAGGCCUAACACAUGCAAGUCGAACGCUGUAGCAAUACAGAGUGGCAGACGGGUGAGUAACGCGUGGGAACAUACCCUUCGGUUCGGAAUAACUCAGGGAAACUUGAGCUAAUACCGGAUACGUGCGAGAGCAGAAAGAUUCAUCGCCGAAGGAUUGGCCCGCGUUCGAUUAGCUUGUUGGUGAGGUAAUGGCUCACCAAGGCGACGAUCGAUAGCUGGUCUGAGAGGAUGAUCAGCCACAUUGGGACUGAGACACGGCCCAAACUCCUACGGGAGGCAGCAGUGGGGAAUAUUGGACAAUGGGCGAAAGCCUGAUCCAGCCAUGCCGCGUGAGUGAUGAAGGCCCUAGGGUUGUAAAGCUCUUUCGUCAGGGACGAUAAUGACGGUACCUGAAGAAGAAGCCCCGGCUAACUUCGUGCCAGCCGCCGUAGUAAC
rnacentral:rRNA from 1 species